UAAGCAUUAGAUAUUUCUUUGAAGAGUAAUUGGCAUAUAGUUAUAGACUUGACUAAAUCAUAAUCAGUAUUUGCAGCGGAAGGCAAGACUGAGAUACAUGUAUGCAGACACAUAUCAUUUCUGAGCCUAUUCUAAGUUCGACAAAAGCUCCACUCAGCAACACUUCAUCGUUCAUCACAGCUCAACCUGCACAUUCAUAAACAUAUGCAGGGCUAAGUACAAAAGUACUUAGUGGGCAGUUGCCAAAAACUAAAUUGUAAGCUUAACAUUUUAUC
rnacentral:lncRNA from 1 species